rnacentral:rRNA from 1 species
UGGUGCCUUCGGGAACUGUGAGACAGGUGCUGCAUGGCUGUCGUCAGCUCGUGUUGUGAAAUGUUGGGUUAAGUCCCGCAACGAGCGCAACCCUUAUCCUUUGUUGCCAGCGGUCCGGCCGGGAACUCAAAGGAGACUGCCAGUGAUAAACUGGAGGAAGGUGGGGAUGACGUCAAGUCAUCAUGGCCCUUACGACCAGGGCUACACACGUGCUACAAUGGCGCAUACAAAGAGAAGCGACCUCGCGAGAGCAAGCGGACCUCAUAAAGUGCGUCGUAGUCCGGAUUGGAGUCUGCAACUCGACUCCAUGAAGUCGGAAUCGCUAGUAAUCGUGGAUCAGAAUGCCACGGUGAAUACGUUCCCGGGCCUUGUACACACCGCCCGUCACACCAUGGGAGUGGGUUGCAAAAGAAGUAGGUAGCUUAACCUUCGGGAGGGCGCUUACCACUUUGUGAUUCAUGACUGGGGUGAAGUCGUAACAAGGUAACCGUAGGGGAACCUGCGGUUGGAUCAC